AUGAACGCUAGCUACAGGCUUAACACAUGCAAGUCGAGGGGCAGCAUGGUCUUAGCUUGCUAAGGCCGAUGGCGACCGGCGCACGGGUGAGUAACACGUAUCCAACCUGCCGUCUACUCUUGGACAGCCUUCUGAAAGGAAGAUUAAUACAAGAUGGCAUCAUGAGUCCGCAUGUUCACAUGAUUAAAGGUAUUCCGGUAGACGAUGGGGAUGCGUUCCAUUAGAUAGUAGGCGGGGUAACGGCCCACCUAGUCUUCGAUGGAUAGGGGUUCUGAGAGGAAGGUCCCCCACAUUGGAACUGAGACACGGUCCAAACUCCUACGGGAGGCAGCAGUGAGGAAUAUUGGUCAAUGGGCGAGAGCCUGAACCAGCCAAGUAGCGUGAAGGAUGACUGCCCUAUGGGUUGUAAACUUCUUUUAUAAAGGAAUAAAGUCGGGUAUGGAUACCCGUUUGCAUGUACUUUAUGAAUAAGGAUCGGCUAACUCCGUGCCAGCAGCCGCGGUAAUACGGAGGAUCCGAGCGUUAUCCGGAUUUAUUGGGUUUAAAGGGAGCGUAGAUGGAUGUUUAAGUCAGUUGUGAAAGUUUGCGGCUCAACCGUAAAAUUGCAGUUGAUACUGGAUAUCUUGAGUGCAGUUGAGGCAGGCGGAAUUCGUGGUGUAGCGGUGAAAUGCUUAGAUAUCACGAAGAACUCCGAUUGCGAAGGCAGCCUGCUAAGCUGCAACUGACAUUGAGGCUCGAAAGUGUGGGUAUCAAACAGGAUUAGAUACCCUGGUAGUCCACACGGUAAACGAUGAAUACUCGCUGUUUGCGAUAUACUGCAAGCGGCCAAGCGAAAGCGUUAAGUAUUCCACCUGGGGAGUACGCCGGCAACGGUGAAACUCAAAGGAAUUGACGGGGGCCCGCACAAGCGGAGGAACAUGUGGUUUAAUUCGAUGAUACGCGAGGAACCUUACCCGGGCUUAAAUUGCAGAUGAAUUACGGUGAAAGCCGUAAGCCGCAAGGCAUCUGUGAAGGUGCUGCAUGGUUGUCGUCAGCUCGUGCCGUGAGGUGUCGGCUUAAGUGCCAUAACGAGCGCAACCCUUGUUGUCAGUUACUAACAGGUUCCGCUGAGGACUCUGACAAGACUGCCAUCGUAAGAUGUGAGGAAGGUGGGGAUGAUGUCAAAUCAGCACGGCCCUUACGUCCGGGGCUACACACGUGUUACAAUGGGGGGUACAGAGGGCCGCUACCACGCGAGUGGAUGCCAAUCCCCAAAACCUCUCUCAGUUCGGACUGGAGUCUGCAACCCGACUCCACGAAGCUGGAUUCGCUAGUAAUCGCGCAUCAGCCACGGCGCGGUGAAUACGUUCCCGGGCCUUGUACACACCGCCCGUCAAGCCAUGGGAGCCGGGGGUACCUGAAGUGCGUAACCGCGAGGAGCGCCCUAGGGUAAAACUGGUGACUGGGGCU
rnacentral:rRNA from 1 species